rnacentral:tRNA from 1 species
CAAGUUAUAGCAUAUAACCAUAAUGUUCCUAAUUUACAAUUAGAAGAAAAUUCUUAUUUAACUUGA